rnacentral:misc_RNA from 1 species
CCAGCUGCGCAGGGGGCGGAGAUUUUGUUUCGAGCCUUACCGACACUGAUGAGCCAAGAGGAACUUGGAGGCACCCAGGAAUUUCACCCGGGUCGACCUGGGCGGCUAGGAGCCGUGCACAGGGCGUCGCUGUGGAGCGAGCCUGGCCUCCAAGGGGCCUGGAGGCGAAACCGGUCUGUUGGGACCACUCGGACCAUCAGUCAUCGUGCUCCGGCAGCUU